rnacentral:rRNA from 1 species
AUUGAACGCUGGCGGCAGGCCUAACACAUGCAAGUCGAGCGGAUGAGUGGAGCUUGCUCCAUGAUUCAGCGGCGGGCGGGUGAGUAAUGCCUAGGAAUCGGCCUGGUAGUGGGGGACAACGUUUCGAGAGGAACGCUAAUACCGCAUACGUCCUACGGGAGAAAGUGGGGGAUCUUCGGACCUCACGCUAUCAGAAGAGCCCAGGUCGGAUUAGCUAGUUGGUGAGGUAAAGGCCCACCAAGGCGACGAUCCCUAACUGGUCUGAGAGGAUGAUCAGUCACACUGGAACUGAGACACGGUCCAGACUCCUACGGGAGGCAGCAGUGGGGAAUAUUGGACAAUGGGCGAAAGCCUGAUCCAGCCAUGCCGCGUGUGUGAAGAAGGUCUUCGGAUUGUAAAGCACUUUAAGUUGGGAGGAAGGGCAGUAAGUUAAUACCUUGCUGUUUUGACGUUACCAACAGAAUAAGCACCGGCUAACUUCGUGCCAGCCGCCGCAGUAAUAC